rnacentral:rRNA from 1 species
AACGAACGCUGGCGGCGUGCCUAACACAUGCAAGUCGAACGGAAUAAGGGGCUUGCUCCUUAUUUAGUGGCGCACGGGUGAGUAACGCGUAGAUAAUCUGCCUGAUGAUCUGGGCUAACAUUUCGAAAGAGGUGCUACUACCGGAUAAGCCCACGACGGCCUUGGUCGACGCGGGCAAAGGGGGGGACCAUUUGGCCUUCUGUCAUCAGAUGAGUCUGCGUACCAUUAGCUAGUUGGUGGGGGAAAGGCCUACCAAGGCUACGAUGGUUAGCUGGUCUGAGAGGAUGAUCAGCCACACUGGAACUGGAACACGGUCCAGACUCCUACGGGAGGCAGCAGUGGGGAAUUUUGCGCAAUUGGCGAAAGCCUGACGCAGCAACGCCGCGUGAGUGAUGAAGGCUUUCGGGUCGUAAAGCUCUGUCAAUGGGAAAGAAGUGUAUUGUAGCUAAUAUCUGCGAUACUUGACGGUACCCAUAAAGGAAGCACCGGCUAACUCCGUGCCAGCCGCCGCCGUAA